UAGCUUAAAGAAAAUAUUUUAAGUAAUACCUGCCCGGUGGAUUUCUUAACGGCCGCAGUACUUUGACUGUGCUAAGGUAGCAUAAUAAAUUGGCUUUUAAUUGAAGUCGGGAAUGAAAGGGACUUUGGAAGAAAGCUGUCUCAAGAAUACUUUAUUUUAAUUUAUUUAAUGAGUGAAAAUCCUCAUAUUUUUUACAUUAGACGAGAAGACCCUUAGAGUUAUAAUUAUAAUGAAUUUAUUUCAUAUAUCAUUUUUGUUGGGGCAACAAGGACUGGAAUUAAACCGUCUUAAAUAUAUUUUACAUGACCAAUGUUUUUAGAAAGAAAUAAAUUACCUUAGGGAUAACAGCAUAAUUAAUUUUUAGAUUGUGACCUCGAUGUUGGAUUAAGGACUUUAUUUACUAGCCGUAAAUAAAGAUAGUUCUGUUCGAACUGUAAUACCUU
rnacentral:rRNA from 1 species